rnacentral:rRNA from 1 species
UGAUACCCUAUUAUUAAGAGUAUAAAUUUUAAUUCCUAGUAUUAUAAGCUAUGAUCUUUAAAUUGAAAGAGUUUGACGGUAAUAUUUAAUCAUAUUAGAGGAACCUGUUCUGUAAUUGAUAAUCCACGAUAAAUUUUACCCUUAAUAUUAUUGUUUGUAUACCUCUGUUUGAUGAAUGUUUUAUUAGAAUAUUUUCUUUAAUUUUUAUUGGAAAUUAUAUCAGGUCAAGGUGCAGCUUUUAAGGGUCAGAAAUGGGUUACAUUUAAUUUUUAUUAUUGGAUUAUAACUUGUAUUAGUUAUAUAAAAUUGGAUUUAAUUGUAAUGGAUAAUAUAUUAUC